GAUGAACGCUGGCGGCGUGCUUAACACAUGCAAGUCGAGCGAAGCACUUAAGUUCGAUUCUUCGGAUGAAGACUUUUGUGACUGAGCGGCGGACGGGUGAGUAACGCGUGGGUAACCUGCCUCAUACAGGGGGAUAACAGUUAGAAAUGGCUGCUAAUACCGCAUAAGACCACAGUACUGCAUGGUACAGUGGUAAAAACUCCGGUGGUAUGAGAUGGACCCGCGUCUGAUUAGGUAGUUGGUGAGGUAACGGCCCACCAAGCCGACGAUCAGUAGCCGACCUGAGAGGGUGACCGGCCACAUUGGGACUGAGACACGGCCCAGACUCCUACGGGAGGCAGCAGUGGGGAAUAUUGCACAAUGGGCGAAAGCCUGAUGCAGCGACGCCGCGUGAAGGAUGAAGUAUUUCGGUAUGUAAACUUCUAUCAGCAGGGAAGAAAAUGACGGUACCUGACUAAGAAG
rnacentral:rRNA from 1 species